UAGAAAAAAAAUAACUUCCAUUAGUUUUAAUGUCAAAGCCAAAAACCAUUAAUAGAAUUCUCUCACACACACACACACACACACACACACACACACAAAAGGUGUUUCAUGUUUAUUAUUAUAAAUGCUCUAUCUGCCCCCAGACUAAUACUGAAAUACAUGUUCCUUUGCUAGCAUGUCAGACACUGAUGUUGUAACUGAGAACCUCUGUUGAAUCAUAACCUUCUGAUUCCUGAGGGUUAUGUCAGUGCAAGUAUCUUUAAAUUUCUGUGUGGCUUCAUUGCAGACUUCACUUACAUGGAAUGAAGAGGGCUAGAUUAAUGCCUUGGGGAAAUAUAAUAAAGAAAUCCUCAAUAGAUAGCAGAGGUAUUUCAGAAAUCAGCUCACUGAGGGUUGAGUUUGACAUAUCCAAAAUGUACUAAUUGCACUCAGGAAUCAGAUACGUGGUUACGCUAUGUGCUUCCUGGUUUACAGCUGGAUCUGGGUUCAUGUCUGCAACCACCAAAGGAGUUCAAGGAGCUUAAAGGUAAAUACCUUACUGAUCUAUGCUCAGCUGUAAUGGAUGGAUUUGCAAAGUCACAAUGAGGUUCUCAUGCUGUGCUCCUCAAUGAAGUACCUGUCUACCUUGUCGUAAAGCACUAAAUAACAUUACU